AAUCCGUGGUGCAGGCAUUUCUGAAUCAAUGUUUUAAAUGUUCCCAAGCUUCAUGAAAACUUUUUCCUUCCAUCUGUCUAAAGACAACAAUUUCUCUUCUUAGUUG
rfam:Gossypium raimondii Chr09_contig_925, whole genome shotgun sequence.